UACAGAGGGUGCGAGCGUUAAUCGGAAUUACUGGGCGUAAAGCGUGCGUAGACGGUUAUUUAAGUCGGGUGUGAAAGCCCCGGGCUCAACCUGGGAAUUGCAUUCGAGACUGAAUAGCUAGGGUACGGUAGAGGGAAGCGGAAUUUCCGGUGUAGCGGUGAAAUGCGUAGAUAUCGGAAGGAACAUCAGUGGCGAAAGCGACUUCCUGGACCAAUACUGACGCUCAUGUGCGAAAGCGUGGGGAGCAAACAGG
rnacentral:rRNA from 1 species